rnacentral:snRNA from 1 species
GUGCUCGCUUCAGCAGCACUUAUACUACAACUGGAACGAUACAGAGAAGAUAAGCAUGGCCCCAGAGCAAGGAUGACAUGUAAAUUCAUGAAACGUUCCAUAUUUUU